rnacentral:lncRNA from 1 species
UUUUUUGGCCAAUGGACAUUCAGUAUUCAUUCUAGUUUCCUGAAGUUGUCUUUUAUUUAUUUAUUUAUUUAUUUGGCCACACUUGUGGCAUGCAGGAGUUCCUGUGCCAGGAAUCGAACCCAUGCCACAGAAGUGACCCAAGCCACAGCAGUGACCAUUCCAAAUCCUUAACUUGCUGAGCCAUGAGGGAACGCCUCCAUAAAAAUUUUAGAAUAAGAAUAUUAAUUUUCCAAAAGCUUUCUGGAAUGUUGAUUGGGGUUGUGUUCCUAGGUGAGCAGUAAAUAGCCAGCACCCUUGGAUUUUCUUGAUUUAUGGCACCAGAAAAACUCAGGCUUUGGCCCAGCAGCAAGCUGAGAGCCACUACAGGGCAAAAUCAAGGGAGAGUGCUGUGCCUGACCAUAUCAUCCUCAAACCUAACAACACCGGAGGUAACUCUGGCAGAUAAGGCCAACCCUCUGGCAAGCCUCAAGGACAGAGUCAUUGCACAGACUCCCCAGCAUCCUGGAGCAAGGCUAUGUUUUCUCCAAGAGGGAAUGACUCACCAUUUGAAAGAGGCUCCUGGUCUGCUACUGGUUUUAGUAACAACUGAGCACCUGAACUUGCAACAUCAGGUUCCCCAAAAAAACCAACAAAGGAGAAACUGCCUAAUCCUCAUUUACAAAUGGGUUGCCUGAAUAUGAUGGGUGUCCUGAAAAUAAACUGCCACUCCCUGCAUCACCACAAGGUGGAACUUCAGUGGGCAGAGCUGUGAGCAGAACAGCUGAUCGUCUACUUCAUAGGGAGGAAAAGCUCACUUUCAAUGUCAGUUUUGAUCCAGGUGUUGGAUUGGCUAUGGAAUAAAAUGCUUGAUUCUCCCAGCCCCCUCUAACCAGGGGGCUGACAUCUUGGAAUAAAAGGUUUGGAGUACAGAAGUCCACUUUAUGAAGCAUCCUUGCGGUCCGUAGAGAAAAUGAACAUACUUCCUGAUUUGCUUCUAUUGUCCUGGCAUCCCUCUGGUUUAAUGAGCCCUUAUUGAGGCAGCCCAUACCCGGAGCAGUGAGAGUGGCACCACCAGACUUGUUCCCCUGGACCACACGUGGCAUCUCAGCAUCUCUCCGCCAUAGUUGUGAACACCUGUGCUUUACCUGGAUUCAUUCUGUGCAUUCCUUAGCCAGAUGGGUCCCGAGGGCACUGGACAUUGGAUAAAAGACCAGAGAAUGAAACAUUUUAAAACUGUCUCAUCUGAUUCCAAGCAAAACAUAAUCCUACGUAUUGAGGUUGUAGGUUUAGCUCGUUGAAUUUCAAGGAGCCGUUGAAUGACCAACAGGACCAAAUGCCCAAGAGUGAAGAAAGGUUUCCUGGGCCGUGGGACUUGCAGUACCAAAACUGUGACAGUCUCAGACAAGCUGAGAUCCUGGUCUCCAGACAUCUUGUACAUGAAUUCAGAGCCCAGUGUGUUAAGGUGAAGUCAGGUUGGCAUGUGAAGAAAAGAAAUCAUGCAUACGGGGCCCCUGAGCCAAGAUUUCAGAAAAAGUACUCUUCAGGAGUUCCCGUCGUGGCGCAGUGGUUAAUGAAUGUGACUAAGAACCAUGAGGUUGCGGGUUCGAUCCCUGGCCUCACUCAGUGGGUUAAGAAUCCUGUGUUGCAGUGAGCCGUGAUGUAGGUCAUAGACACGGCUCGGAUCUGGAGUUGCUGAGGCUGUGGUGUAGGCUGGCAGCCGUAGCUCCAAUUAGACCCCUAGCCUGGGAACCUCCAUGUGCACCAGGUGCGGCCCUAAAAAGACAAAAGACAAAAUAAAACAAAGGACUCUUCACUGUGUACUGGAUACAAAAUAGAGGGCAGCUUUUAUGGCCCCCUUAUAUUCCAGUCCUCACUUCUCAAACCAGAAAAGCCUGAGAUAAAUGUCGUAUGAGGGUCCCUUCCUCCUCCUUUCUCCCAAGGGGAGCCCUGACUUGGGUUCUUCACAUCCUCAACCUGAAAACCACUCCCGCCUGCAAGAGCUGAUGCAGUGUUCGAACAGCCUCCAGAGAGUGCCUGAUUUUAUAGGAAUGGAGUUCUCCAAAUAUCCACCCAAAAAGGAGCGGAGAGGUGAGUUGAAGUACAAAUGAACCACAGAUGAACUGAGGACCACUGUGUAUUCCUGUCUCCUUUGCCGCUUGGAAAUUAAAGGAGGAAGAACUGUAGGCACCCCGCCAUUCUCUUAGCCGGUAUCACCUAGCCAGAUGCCUGGGAGAUAAAAGGUAUAAAAUUACCCCCUUAUAUUUUCCCUCCAAGGAGAUUUCGCUUCUGGGAUCCUAGCACCAGAAAAUAGAAACCCUUGGCUACUUAACAAACAGGUAACCAACACUUUUUAGACUUGCGUGUGCUUCUUGAAUUACCAAGGGAAAGGUAUGAUUUCACACAAAGUCAAAGAUGACAGAUGAUGUGUUCAGGACGUAUACAGGUGAUCUGGUGUCCGCAGCAUCUGAAGAGUGCUUUCCUUGCCUUCUCAAUUCCCCUGCUGCCUGGUAACCAGGAGGCAGCGCAGUGCAGCGCAGGGCCACGGGUAUCAAACUGAGGAUCACCUCCAGGGCUUCCACCUACCACCUACCAGCCGUGGGACAUCGGGCAAAUUCCUCGACUUGACAGGGCUCUUAUGAGGAUUAAGUGAGAUAAUCUGUGUAAAGCUUUUAGUACCGGGCCACAUGGUAAGUACUCAGAAGGGACUGUUGGUACUUACAGUUCUGGAGAGGCUAGGUCAUCUAAUCACCUGUGUUUUCUGCUGGGUGAACCAAGGGGAUUUUCCACCUCCUGGUUAGUUCAUAAGGUAUGUUAAUCACAGGAAAGUUUAUACGAUGAUGAGUUGGUGGUUGCCUAAUUUGAUGAGUCAGAUUGUUUUCUUUUUUUCACUUCUGUGUUGAAAAUAGAAAUUUAGGUCAACUUUUUGCUGGAGGCAGAAAAGUUUUUUUAGGAGUUCUCCUGUGGGGCAGCGGGUUCAGGAUUCGGCAUUGUCACCGCAGCGGCUUGGGACACUGCUGUGGCUGGUGUUCCAUCCCUGGCCUGGGAACUUCCACAGGCCGAGGGUGCGGCCAAAAACAAAACAUUCUUUUUAUUGGGUUACCUGUCUGAAAUGAGAAAGAAACCCCUUUGAAUGCCUGGCUAUCGACUCAGCCCCACAGCUGAUAUGAAUAGAUUUCCUUUGGGAACCUCAAGUAAGAGUCUUAGGAGAGAGUCUAUAUAUGGCUCUUAAGCUGGGAAACAUCGAUUAAAAUCUAGCUUAGAUUUAGUUUCUAAGGCUACCGGAAUUGAGACAUUUAAAAACUCAGAAUACCAAGAUUCUUUGGGUGAAUUUAACAGUGUGUGCUGUGAACAGCUGCACGAGAAUCAAAGGUCAUUACUGCCAUUGCCCAGGGCUGCAGUGUCAGCAAAGGCAACCCAGCAGGAGGAUGCAUGUGGUGGGAAUUUCGGGAUGCCUAGGACCACCCAAGGUGGUCAUCCCACUAAGAAGAGCUUACCUAACGCAUUGCUCUAAUAGGCUCUUAGGUUGCUAAUAAUCAUAUGGCCUUAAUCAGCAGUAAAUGAGAACCUACUUAAUCAAGCCACAGUCUUAAGGUAGUGUGAAGUAACAAGAAAAGUGAACUGCUACUAAGUGGCAUUACUCUGACAAGACUGGCAUAUUUUCAUUUUCCCAGUGUUCUCUUCUGUGCAUGAAACUGGGUUCUGGGCUUAAUAACCCUCAGCCAUAAAGUACUGUAACAUGUUAGUUCAUGCUGGGUGGCAACAGGUUUGUUUUUCAUGAUUAUGUAAUCUGAAUUCUUCUUCCAAGAAAGGAUUUGGAAAUGAGCUAUUAAAUUGGAUUGCCAGCAGACAUUUGGUCUAAAUGCACAUCUGCAUUAGCUGCAUGAAACUCCGGCCCUUUCUCUCUCAUGGCCCCCUACCCCUCUACAAAUCUGAAAACUGCAACUCUAGUGUGGCCCAUGAGAAAAACAGUCCAGCAGCUGGCCGAGGUUUACAUAAAGCAGUGAAAUGCCUACUAAGGAUUUUUAGGUGCGGGUAUUUGAUCUUCCUUGGUCUUAAAUAGCAACCUAAUGAGCCAGGCGAUCUGGGCACUCCGUACACUUGUACCCAGAUUAGAUUGGCUUUAAAAACUAAUAUAGUGUUAAAAUAUUGUGUAAAGGGUGCCUACUGGAGUAGGUUCAAAGACUUCAAGUGCUAGGUUGGUAUUUAUUGACUAAAAUGCUACUUAGAAAAGAGUUCACGUUGUUCUUAAUUUCCAAGACAAAGCUGAAAACCACAGCAAAUAACUGCUUGGGGGUUUGCAUUCCAUAGUCCUGGACUCAGAGGCAAGCUUCCUGUUCCCUCUUGGCUGGCAGACCCGACCCGAAGGCCAGGCGGUGAAUGGUUUGGUUCUUAGAGUUGCAGAAUCUGCGCCGGGUGCCAGACCAGGUGUUUUUUGUUUUUUUAAGUUCAUCGUAAAGAUUUGGAUCUCACGGAAAGAGAACAGGAGAGCAGACUGAGUUAGGUAUUUGGGCAAAGACCAUCUCUUUACAAAGAUCCACACACCUGAGUAGCUCCCAAAGAGGAGGGUUUCAAAAUAACUGAGACCCACACUUGGAAAACGCGAAUCAUUCCCCGGGAUCUUCUUGGUAAGAUUUCAGGAAUUAAAAGGAAGAAAAGAAAAAGAAAAAGAACCAUUCAAGAUUCUCAGGCCAACAGGAUUUUUAUUUUUUUCCUUCUAGGGGAAAUGCCAGAUUUUUUUCAAGUAGUAUAAUUCCGUGUUUUUGUAUGCAACUUGUAUGCACAGUCCUAUGUUUAUAAGGAGCUGAAAGUCAAAUGCUGAGAUUUCCUCUGCUACCUUUAUAGCUGGUGCUCUUACAUGGGCCCCAGGUCAGAACCUACAGGAAACUCUGGCUGUGCGUGUGCAUGUUUGUAACAAAGAAAGGGAGAGAGAAAGAUACAGAUAAAGACAGGGAAUUCCAGAAUUGUCCUUGCAAGGAGUAGUUAUGAGGCUGAAUGUUCUAGUGGAAAAUAAAUGAAGAGAAUCCUAGAACACUAGUUAUUCAAAUAGCACGCCCAAAUGAAUUGCUUAGGAAAAACCAUUAACCUCUUCUUCUCUGCCCCGUUAUUUCAGCAAUUUUAAAGGUCUUAUGGCCAAAGGACAAGAUCCGGAAGGGUUGGUGGUGGGGCUGGGGAGAGUUGAAGUUUAACUCAGCUGAACUGGGGGCGAAUUUCCUUGGCAGUGCAAAGGCUCUCAAUGAAGGCUCUCUGCCAGACAGAAGCAGCGCAGGCCACGCCCGGGCCACAGCGAGGCCCGUCCCUGACCCUCCUUCAGAGAAGAGGCUUGUGUCCUCCUUUUCUAAGGCAGCCCCUCCCUUGGGUAGACAAACAAGCCUCCUCAGUACGCAUCCUCCCCCACCCCCACCAGUGUGCUCAUUCCAACCUUUGUGCCCCCUUCCAACCUCUCCUUGUAAUUCUCUCUCCCCACCUCUUUAACCCAACCUCUCACCCCCUUCCAGGUCCAACACCAGAUCCUCUAAGCAUCCUUGCAAAUAAAGAGCGUUCCCCUGGGGCUGCUCUCCAUCCUCUCCGCCCUCAUCAGGCUGCUAAUAUUUUCACUGUUUCUUAUAGACGCUGUAGAGACAAAAGCCCUUCUCCUUUCUUUUCUGGCUGUCCAAUUCUUUCUUUUCUUGAAAAAAUAAAUAACCUUAUGAUCUCCCUGCCUGGCUUUUAUCAUGGUUUUCUACAUCCACAGAUGUAGGUGGAACAUAACUGACUUCACCUGCUGUUCCAUCCAGGCAUAGUCUUAGUUCAGCCGAAUCCACUGGAAUCAACCCAGGCCCAUGUUUGGCUUCGGUAAAGGUUCUCUGACAUGAGAAUUUAAAAGCAUUCCAUGGAGUUCCCGCCGUGGCACAGUGGUUAAUGAAUCCGACUAGGAACCAUGAGGUUGCGGGUUCGGUCCCUGCCCUUGCUCAGUGGGUUAAGAGUCCGGCGUUGCCGUGAGCUGCGGUGUAGGUUGCAGACACGGCUCGGAUCCCUCGUUGCUAUGGCUCUGGCGUAGGCUGGCGGCUACACCUCCGAUUAGACCCCUAGCCUGGGAACCUCCGUAUGCAGUGGGAGCGGCCCAAGAAACAGCAAAAAGACAAAAAAAAAAUAAAAAUUAAAAAAAAAAAAAAAG